AGGAGGAUUUGACACCCAGAUCUCGUCUCCCCAUGAUUACGCCACUGGAUAGAUACACAGAGGCGGGUGAAAUCUCAUAUAAAUCGAUUUUUAAAACCAAAUAAAAUCCUCAUCUGAUAAAAUUUAAUUUACCUGUCAUUUUGCAAUACGCACAACCUAUAUAGCGUGCAUAAUAGUGUUAUUUUGUAAUAUAACGCGCAUUGACAUAGUAUCAUAUAAAUCUUUUUUUCCUUUAUUUGUAUACGUUAAUAGGA